rnacentral:rRNA from 1 species
CUACGUGCCAGCAGCCGCGGUAAUACGUAGGGUGCAAGCGUUAUCCGGAAUUAUUGGGCGUAAAGGGCUCGUAGGCGGUUCGUCGCGUCCGGUGUGAAAGUCCAUCGCUUAACGGUGGAUCCGCGCCGGGUACGGGCGGGCUUGAGUGCGGUAGGGGAGACUGGAAUUCCCGGUGUAACGGUGGAAUGUGUAGAUAUCGGGAAGAACACCAAUGGCGAAGGCAGGUCUCUGGGCCGUUACUGACGCUGAGGAGCGAAAGCGUGGGGAGCGAACAGGAUUAGAUACCCUGGUAGUCCACGCCGUAAACGGUGGAUGCUGGAUGUGGGGCCCGUUCCACGGGUUCCGUGUCGGAGCUAACGCGUUAAGCAUCCCGCCUGGGGAGUACGGCCGCAAGGCUAAAACUCAAAGAAAUUGACGGGGGCCCGCACAAGCGGCGGAGCAUGCGGAUUAAUUCGAUGCAACGCGAAGAACCUUACCUGGGCUUGACAUGUUCCCGACGAUCCCAGAGAUGGGGUUUCCCUUCGGGGCGGGUUCACAGGUGGUGCAUGGUCGUCGUCAGCUCGUGUCGUGAGAUGUUGGGUUAAGUCCCGCAACGAGCGCAACCCUCGCCCCGUGUUGCCAGCGGAUUAUGCCGGGAACUCACGGGGGACCGCCGGGGUUAACUCGGAGGAAGGUGGGGAUGACGUCAGAUCAUCAUGCCCCUUACGUCCAGGGCUUCACGCAUGCUACAAUGGCCGGUACAACGGGAUG